UACGUAGGUGGCAAGCGUUGUCCGGAAUUAUUGGGCGUAAAGGGCGCGUAGGCGGUCUUGUCAGUCCCUUGUGAAAUCCCCCGGCUCAACUGGGGAACUGCACGGGAAACAGCAGGGCUUGAGUUCGGGAGAGGGAAGCGGAAUCCGGGUGUAGCAGUGAAAUGCGUAGAGAUCGGGAGGAACAUCAGUGCGAAGGCGGCUCUCUGGACCAGCACUGACACUGAGGCACGAAAGCGUGGGGAGCAAACAGG
rnacentral:rRNA from 1 species